AUUGAACGCUGGCGGCAGGCCUAACACAUGCAAGUCGAACGAGUGGCGGACGGGUGAGUAAUGUCUGGGAAACUGCCUGAUGGAGGGGGAUAACUACUGGAAACGGUAGCUAAUACCGCAUACCAUCGGAUGUGCCCAGAUGGGAUUAGCUAGUAGGUGGGGUAAAGGCUCACCUAGGCGACGAUCCCUAGCUGGUCUGAGAGGAAGACGGGCCACACUGGAACUGGGAAACGGUCAAGACUCCAACGGGGGGCAGAAGGGGGGAAUAUCGGACAAGGGGCGCAAGCCUGAUGCAGCAAUGCCGCGUGGAGGAGGAAGGCCUUCGGGUUGUAAAGUACUUUCAGCGGGGAGGCGUUACCCGCAGAAGAAGCAACGGCUAACUCCGUGCCAGCAGCCGCGGUAAUAC
rnacentral:rRNA from 1 species